GCCAGUGUGGUGCAAUGGUUUGAGUGUUGGACUAUGACUCUGUAGACCAGGGUUUGAAUUCCUGCUCAGCCA